rnacentral:rRNA from 1 species
UACGAAGGGGGCUAGCGUUGCUCGGAAUCACUGGGCGUAAAGGGUGCGUAGGCGGGUCUUUAAGUCAGGGGUGAAAUCCUGGAGCUCAACUCCAGAACUGCCUUUGAUACUGAAGAUCUUGAGUUCGGGAGAGGUGAGUGGAACUGCGAGUGUAGAGGUGAAAUUCGUAGAUAUUCGCAAGAACACCAGUGGCGAAGGCGGCUCACUGGCCCGAUACUGACGCUGAGGUACGAAAGCGUGGGGAGCAAACGGG